UCGGUCCUUUCACUGACUGUCCACACCCGAAGUGGAAGAGCUCGAAAUCCGUCUUCAGUGUAUAAUGCAAAACAACCUCAGUGGUUCAAUCAUGCCCACCGACAUGAUUUGUUCGGAUCAUAUGCCAUUUGUUGGACACCUGAUGGAGCCAGAUGGAGGAGGAUGAUGAUGGUUGUGGUGUUUGAACUUCUGCAGAAUGUCUCAGUAAACACCACAGUCUGUUAGGACUGUAUAAUUACUUGUGAUAAACUGGGUGUGAGAAAGCAGCUCCAACAAGAGGAGUUCUACCAUCCGCAUCAAGUCUGUUGGAAAAUUCUCGUGGUUUAAGAUUGGGGAUGUGAAACCAGAGAGAAGAUAUCACAGCAGCUACAACACACUGUUGAGCAGUCUUUGGAAGAAUUCAUACUUUACAGGUAACAAGCAAGACGCUGCAAACACCUGAUGGAGAAUGGAACAGUGGAACAUUUUUCUCUUCUAUCUGAUGCCAAACAAAGUUAAUAGUAAAUGUUUUUCUAUUUGUCAUACUUCGUUUGCCAUAUUUGAUCACUGGCAGGUCUUCAUCUGCCAGAAGCACUGCCUGUCAUGUAAUAGAUCGAAGGAGUAUGAAUCUGAAUACUUGUACAUCUGAUGUGUCAAACUGGCAUCAUUUUGUUUGUAAUAAAAGCUAUUGA